GCCUGGGUGGCUCAGUUGGUUAAGCUUCCAACUUCAACUUUGGCUAAGGUCAUGAUCUAACAGCUUGUGGGUUCAAGCCCCACAUCAGGCU
rnacentral:tRNA from 1 species